CCUACAGAUAAACCUGCAAACAUAGGACACAGUUUUGUAGCAAUUAACCCCAACUGCUUUGCUCCAGAUUUUGGAUGCCGUAUGCAAGACCUGAUGACAUACCUCAGAAAUUUGAAACCACAAGAUCCCAGCAAGCCAGUACUUGUACCAGGUGAUCCUGAGAGGAAAAACAUGAAACUUGUUGAUAAACAAGGAGGAAUACAAUACCAUGAGAACCAACUCAAGGCAUCGCUGGGACUUGCUCAGGAGUUAUGUGUAGAACCAAUGAAGACAGUACCUAUGAAGACAUGUUAGCAAGUUUCUGAAGUCAUGUACUUAAGGAUAAAGCUUGACAAG